rnacentral:lncRNA from 1 species
GGGGUUGAAAAAGAAAAAGGGUGCCCGGAGAGAUUAGCUCAUCUCCUGCCUACAUACCUCAUCUGGUAUGAGGAUCAGGACGACGUAGUUCCCCUAAACAGGGAAAGAACUUCUAUCCUAACCAGAGACAAAUGGAGGAUAACAAUCUACUAGGGAGACUACGACUCGAGCCUAGAAGUUGUCAUGCAUAAGAUCCCUAUGUUGAGGUUUCUAUCCUAACUUGCACAGGAAGAAAGCUAUCCUAAACAGCAC